GUCUUCGUGACGUAUAUUUAACAAAAUAGUAGUCACGUUACAAACCCAGGUAGUAACAAGUUGUUACGUCACAAGCUCGUUCUCAAAUUGUACAAUAUUUAGGGAAUUAGUGAAUGUAAUAAGGAUAUAUAGGUCGUAUAUAGAUAUGGUUACUCGGGGAUUGUGCAUAUGUUGUGGAUUUUGUUCCUACGCCAAGAAUAGACUAGACAUAUUGCUGAAAAUGGUUGAGUUUCACCGAUUGAUGUCUAAAAGACUGAUGUGUAAAUUAAACUCAAAAGGAGUUAAAGGGAAGCUCUUGUUCGAUUCAUCCGAAAUUCAAAGUUGUAAUUGCUAGUGCCAUGAAAGGGAACAGAGAAUGUGACAGAACACAAAAUCAAGGAGCACAUCAGCUACCAUCUAAAAUACGCCCCAAACUGGAAAAGAGUUGGCAAAAGAUACAUUGACAAUUAUCUUUAAAAUGACACGUUUAGGAUGCUUUUGUGCUUAGGAUGAUUUUGCGGAUAAAUGUUUUGUGGCUUAUAGGUGCAAUCAAGCUUCUAAAAAUAUGUUUGCUACUAUUACUAUUAGUGAUUGGUUUGGUUUAAACAGUAUUAUUCUACAUGUAUAUUUUAACGUUUAAUAACAACGUGUAGAAGACCAAGAUUUUGUAAUUUAUUGAUCCAUAACUUGCAAAUAACUAUGUGUUCUUACUAUAUUUAUAGCAAACAUGUGCUAGACACUUUUUAAAACAUAUAAUGAAAAUGCUAUGUGUACAACGAACAUUUAAAUUUCAAUACACGUUUGAAAUCUCAAACUCCGUAAUAUAAUCAUGAACUGCUGGGUCGAUUUCCAUCAGACUAAGUCUGUAAUGUAUUACUUAUUUAAAGGACUUUUGUGAGCGAUCCAGGCCCAUUGUGUUUUAAUUUCUUCAUAACAAUGCUUUGAUAGAUAUGCCAUGUGAAUGUUAUUAAUUAAAUCGUAUUUAAUGAAUUUACCAUGUCUGUAGAGAUCUGUACUGAAUAUACAUCUUGGAAGAAGUACAUAAAAUGUA